rnacentral:rRNA from 1 species
UACGGGGGGGGCAAGCGUUGUUCGGAAUUACUGGGCGUAAAGAGCUCGUAGGCGGCCUGUCGCGUCGGAUGUGAAAGCCCGGGGCUUAACCCCGGGUCUGCAUUCGAUACGGGCAGGCUAGAGUGUGGUAGGGGAGAUCGGAAUUCCUGGUGUAGCGGUGAAAUGCGCAGAUAUCAGGAGGAACACCGGUGGCGAAGGCGGAUCUCUGGGCCAUUACUGACGCUGAGGAGCGAAAGCGUGGGGAGCGAACAGG